AUAGAUGGAUCCGCGCUGCAUUAGCUAGUUGGUAAGGUAACGGCUUACCAAGGCAACGAUGCAUAGCCGACCUGAGAGGGUGAUCGGCCACACUGGAACUGAGACACGGUCCAGACUCCUACGGGAGGCAGCAGUAGGGAAUCUUCCGCAAUGGGCGAAAGCCUGACGGAGCAACGCCGCGUGAGUGAUGAAGGUCUUCGGAUCGUAAAACUCUGUUAUUAGGGAAGAACAUAUGUGUAAGUAACUGUGCACAUCUUGACGGUACCUAAUCAGAAAGCCACGGCUAACUACGUGCCAGCAGCCGCGGUAAUACGUAGGUGGCAAGCGUUAUCCGGAAUUAUUGGGCGUAAAGCGCGCGUAGGCGGUUUUUUAAGUCUGAUGUGAAAGCCCACGGCUCAACCGUGGAGGGUCAUUGGAAACUGGAAAACUUGAGUGCAGAAGAGGAAAGUGGAAUUCCAUGUGUAGCGGUGAAAUGCGCAGAGAUAUGGAGGAACACCAGUGGCGAAGGCGACUUUCUGGUCUGUAACUGACGCUGAUGUGCGAAAGCGUGGGGAUCAAACAGGAUUAGAUACCCUGGUAGUCCACGCCGUAAACGAUGAGUGCUAAGUGUUAGGGGGUUUCCGCCCCUUAGUGCUGCAGCUAACGCAUUAAGCACUCCGCCUGGGGAGUACGACCGCAAGGUUGAAACUCAAAGGAAUUGACGGGGACCCGCACAAGCGGUGGAGCAUGUGGUUUAAUUCGAAGCAACGCGAAGAACCUUACCAAAUCUUGACAUCCUUUGACAACUCUAGAGAUAGAGCCUUCCCCUUCGGGGGACAAAGUGACAGGUGGUGCAUGGUUGUCGUCAGCUCGUGUCGUGAGAUGUUGGGUUAAGUCCCGCAACGAGCGCAACCCUUAAGCUUAGUUGCCAUCAUUAAGUUGGGCACUCUAAGUUGACUGCCGGUGACAAACCGGAGGAAGGUGGGGAUGACGUCAAAUCAUCAUGCCCCUUAUGAUUUGGGCUACACACGUGCUACAAUGGACAAUACAAAGGGCAGCGAAACCGCGAGGUCAAGCAAAUCCCAUAAAGUUGUUCUCAGUUCGGAUUGUAGUCUGCAACUCGACUACAUGAAGCUGGAAUCGCUAGUAAUCGUAGAUCAGCAUGCUACGGUGAAUACGUUCCCGGGUCUUGUACACACCGCCCGUCACACCACGAGAGUUUGUAACACCCGAAGCCGGUGGAGUAACCUUUUAGGAGCUAGCCGUCGAAGGUGGGACAAAUGAUUGGGGUGAAGUCGUAACAAGGUAGCCGUAUCGGAAGGUGCGGCUGGAUCACCUCCUUU
rnacentral:rRNA from 1 species